UACGAAGGGGGCUAGCGUUGUUCGGACUUACUGGGCGUAAAGGGCGCGUAGGCGGUGUGUCAAGUCAGGCGUGAAAGCCCCGGGCUCAACCUGGGAACGGCGCUUGAGACUGGCACGCUCGAGUUCGGGAGAGGAUGGUGGAAUUCCCAGUGUAGAGGUGAAAUUCGUAGAUAUUGGGAAGAACACCGAUGGCGAAGGCAGCCAUCUGGACCGACACUGACGCUGAGGCGCGAAAGCCAGGGGAGCAAACGGG
rnacentral:rRNA from 1 species